ensembl:lncRNA
GAGCUGAGCCCCCUUUGCCAUCCUGCGGCCUUUUGCAGCCCGUUGAGUGGUCUCAAGAGGUGCUCAACUCUAAGUGCAUCUUAACCUUGACGUGUCAGCUCUGGGUUCACCCUAUAUAGGGUCUUAAAACCUCCUCGUGGCUAAAGCAAGGGCUAGAAGGAUGACCCCAGCCACCAGCACAUCCUCAGGGCUGGGGCACGGCUGUCUCUAUGGGCUUGGGGAGCUGUUGGUGGCAUGUGGCAUCCCCACAUGGCUGUGGCAACUGGAGGAGGGCUGGCACAGGGCAGUGCUCACCAGAGGAGCCGCCUCGUUGCAUCACUGCCCCUCGGACAGCGAGGAGGUGCCAGCAGUGCCGGGAGCUGCUGUGGCCGCACCAUGGGGCAGCUGCUGUGGAGCUGGGUGCUGUGGGGACUCUGGGUGCUGCCAGGUGAGUGCCGGGGUCGUCUGCGUCACCGGGGCAGCCGGACGCACCACGGUGCCAAGGAGGCACGGGGCUCUGUCCUGCAGUGGCCUGCGUGGUGGGGAGGAGAGAUGGGCAUCCAAUGGAUUACAGUGGGAAGCAGAGGGCUCAUUGCUCAGCCUGCCCUUGCUCACACCCGAGCUCCACCAGGGAAUGCGGGAGCAGCGGGCAUGGGGCCCCUUGUCCCAGCACAGGACCCAGCAGAGCUGGCUGGCAGCUCCCGCGUGUCUGACAGCAUCAGUGCCGAGCAACGUCUGGAUAUGUCACCCACUGUGCCUGAGCUGGGCAUGUGCCAGCUGUCCCCUGGCCGAGCGGAGCAGCCCUCUGCCCUCAGGGAUGGAUCAGGCAGAGUGGUGCCACAGGUGGUGCUGGCAGCGCUGGACCCCACGGGCCCUGGCAAUGAGCAGGAGGUGCCUUCUAGUGCAGCAGUCUCUGGGGAGGUGGCAGGAUGGGACAGUCCCCAGGCAGGGCUUGCCUACCCAAAACAAACCGACUGGCCGACCAGUGUCCCCAUGGCUCCUGGCGCCACUCAGAUCUCGUCCCCUGUGCCAAGUGGGCACACAAUGGCUGUUACCCAUGGGAACAGGGAUGUAGAGCCAGCCACAGCCACGCUGUCCUCAGCUCUACAUGUACCUACAGAGAAGAGGACAGGCACCCUGGUGCUAUUAGGCAGCAGCACCACUCCUACAAAGUCUGUGGGAGAACACAGUGCUCUGCAGAGCACCACUGGGCAGCCCACGCUGGGCACAGCCAUCCCUUUGCAAGAGGGGACCGUGGCCAAUGAACGUAUGGAAGCCACCAGCAUGCUGACAGGAGAUGUCCCAGCACCCACUGGAGGUUUGUCACCAUCAGUGACACAUGUUCCUGCAAGUCCUCUGGAGCUGGGGACAGAAGCACCUUCCUCAGUUACCAGCACAGCGAAUGAUGACGAUGGGUUGGGGCAGCCUCACGGUGCUGUCACUGCAGAGGGGACACCGGGGACAGCACAGGGCACGGUGCUGUCUGAUGUCCAACACAGCACGGGGACACCACCCCACUCCCUCACCUGGAUCCCAGCUGAGCUGCACACAGCCGCUGUGCGCCUGUCCCAGGAGGUAAUGCCAGGGCUGGCCGAGGCCACCUCUCCUCUUGUCACAGCAGCCAGUGUCACUGCGGGGGACACAGAGCCUGCGUCAACCAUGUCUGACCGCGUCACAUCUCCCACCGUGCCAGCAACCACAGGGUCUCCCCAUCAUGAUGGAAUACAGAAGUCAGAUACCAUGAUCCUCCCAGGCAGCGUCUCAGCGACAAUCACCCUUUCUCCUGCCACUGAUGGUGUCAGUGAGGCCACAGCCCCAGGGCUGCCAGCCCCUGGCACAGCUGGAGAUGGGCUGCACCGAGAGAUCACUGUCACCCAUCAACAUGUCACCCAUCUUCUCCCUGUUGCCACUGUGUCAGCUCUGGGCACGCCAGCCACAGCCAUGGAUGUCACCACUGCACCGCAUGUACCCACUGCCCCAUUUCCAGCCCUGGGCAGUGCUGAGAUGGUGUCCAUCACUGCUGAAGCCACCUCAGCCACUGCUGUCCUGCAGACUGAGGGCACCCCAAUGGGGCUGAGCAUGGGGACGGUCCCAAGUGCAGUCCCAGCUACGUCACUCCCAGAUGGCCUCCCUGGAGGAGGGUACCGCACCAGGACCCAGGCAGUGACAGUUACACCCACUACCCACCUCGAUGGCAGUACCUCAGGAUGGGCAGGAACGACAGUGACACCACGGUUUGGCUCUGACUCAUAUGGACCAGCCACAGGCACGCUGUCAGCAUCUCCACAUGUACCUCUGGAGAAGGAGACGAGUGCCCCAAUGCCACUGGGCAGCAGCACCACUCCCAUAGAGUCUGUGAGGUCACCCAGAGCUCUGCAGAGCACCACUGGGCAGCCCAUGCUGGGAGCAGCUGUGCCUCUACAGGAAGGGAUUGUGAACAAGGAACAUAUGGAUGCCACCAGCAUGCUGACAGGAGAUGUCCCAGCACCCACUGGAGGUUUGUCUCCUGCAGUGAUAGACGUCUCUGCAGCUCCUUUGGUGUUGGGGACAGAAGCACCUUCCUCAGCCACCAGCACAGCGAAUGAUGACGAUGGGUUGGGGCAGCCUCACAGUGUUGUCACUGCGGAGGGGACACCGGGGACAGCACAGGCCACGGUGCUGUCUGAUGUCCAACACAGCACGGGGACACCACCCCACUCCCUCACCUGGAUCCCAGCUGAGCUGCACACAGCCGCUGUGCGCCUGUCCCAGGAGGUAAUGCCAGGGCUGGCCGAGGCCACCUCUCCUCUUGUCACAGCAGCCAGUGUCACUGCGGGGGACACAGAGCCUGCAUCAACCAUGUCUGACCGUGACACAUCUCCCACCGUGCCAGCAACCACAGUGUCUCCC